rnacentral:rRNA from 1 species
CCUCCGGGUUUCAUCAUUGAUUAAUAUUUUUCAAUUGUCUGGAGCCUGAACCAGCCAAGUCGCGUGAGGGAAGACGGUCCUAUGGAUUGUAAACCUCUUUAGGCGGGGAGCAAUGCCGGGCACGUGUGCCCGGAGGGAGAGUACCCGCAGAAUAAGCAUCGGCUAACUCCGUGCCAGCAGCCGCGGUAAUACGGAGGAUGCGAGCGUUAUCCGGAUUUAUUGGGUUUAAAGGGUGCGUAGGCGGAUUUUUAAGUCAGCGGUAAAAUGUCCGGGCUCAACCCGGGCCGGCCGUUGAAACUGGGGAUCUUGAGUGGGCGAGAAGUAUGCGGAAUGCGUGGUGUAGCGGUGAAAUGCAUAGAUAUCACGCAGAACUCCGAUUGCGAAGGCAGCAUACCGGCGCCCGACUGACGCUGAGGCACGAAAGCGUGGGGAUCGAACAGGAUUAGAUACCCUUGUAGUC